CCUACGGGGUGCAGCAGUGAGGAAUCUUGGUCAAUGGAGGCAACUCUGAUCCAGCCAUGCCGCGUGCAGGAAGAGAGCCCUAUGGGUUGUAAACUGCUUUUCUACGGGAGCAAUAAGGUUUACUAGUAGACUGAUGAGAGUACCGUAGGAAUAAGCAUCGGCUAACUCCGUGCCAGCAGCCGCGGUAAUACGGAGGAUGCGAGCGUUAUCCGGAUUUAUUGGGUUUAAAGGGUGCGUAGGCGGCUUUGUAAGUCAGCGGUGAAAUUUUGCAGCUUAACUGUAAGCGUGCCGUUGAUACUGUGAGGCUAGUAUUUGGUUGCUGUGAGUGGAAUGUGUGGUGUAGCGGUGAAAUGCGUAGAGAUCGGGAGGAACAUCAGUGGCGAAGGCGGGUAACUGGACUGUAACUGACGCUGAUGCGCGAAAGCGCGGGGAGCAAACAG
rnacentral:rRNA from 1 species